CAGCCUGGGCUCGGCCACGCGCAGAUGAGGGGCAGGAUCCCCGGAUACGAUUGUGCGCCCGGUGCUGGAGGAACAGCUUAGGAAGUCCGCAAGAGGUGGGGUUCUGAGCCCGGCCUGAAGCAGCGCAUCCGCGGAGCGCGAAAGCGAGGGCGCAGCCCACAUGCCGGCGCCCAGCAUCCGAGCGGGCUUCGGAAUCUGGUCUUGCUGGAAAGAGAUGGCUCAGCGGUUAGGAGCACUGACUGCACUUUCAGAGGUCCUGAGUUCAAAUCCCAGCAACCACAUGGUGGCUCACAACUGUCCUGGAACUCACGCUGUAGACCAGGCUGGUCUCGAACUCGGAAAUCUGCCUGCCUCUGCCUCCCAAGUGCUGGAAUUAAAGGCCUGCGCCACCACGCCUGGCUUUUUUUUUUUUUUUAAGUUGUAUUUAUGCUGUCCUCAGACACACCAGGAACUAAAAAACUAGGAAAAACUAAAGGUCCCACCCUGUCUCCCAGUCUUUGGCCACUGGCAUCUUUCUUGAUCGAUCCAAACCAAUGGGCACAGGGACCUUUAACGUUUGGACAUGCAGAUUCCCAAUUAAAUCAAAGCAUUAGAACCAAUCCCCAUCAAAGAGAGACCCUCCUGUUCCCAGACUGUCCAGGACAUGGUGUUCCAAUGCUGAGAGUUCAUAGAUGCUGUUCCAUGAUACCAGGCACUGGCCUGGGGUGCUGCAAGCCACGUGGGGAGACCUGAAGGCACAGACAGGCCUCACAAGAUCCCUGGCUGC
rnacentral:lncRNA from 1 species